UACGUAGGAGGCAAGCGUUGUCCGGAAUUACUGGGCGUAAAGCGCGUGUAGGUGGUGGGACAAGUCUGCUGUGAAAGCGCCUGGCUUAACCGGGCGAGGUCGGCGGAAACUGUCCGACUCGAGGACGGUAGAGGGGGGUGGAAUUCCCGGUGUAGUGGUGAAAUUCGUAGAUAUCGGGAGGAACACCAGUGGCGAAGGCGGCGACCUGGGCCAAUAUUGACGCUGAGGUGCGAAAGCGUGGGGAGCAAACAGG
rnacentral:rRNA from 1 species